GUGGGGAAUCUUCCGCAAUGGACGAAAGUCUGACGGAGCGACGCCGCGUGAGUGAAGAAGGCCUUCGGGUCGUAAAGCUCUGUCAUCAGGGACGAACGGCCGGUGGAGUGGAAAGCCACCGGAUUGACGGUACCUGAGAAGGAAGCCACGGCUAACUACGUGCCAGCAGCCGCGGUAAUACGUAGGUGGCAAGCGUUGUCCGGAAUUAUUGGGCGUAAAGUGCGCGCAGGUGGGAUCUUAAGUCCAUUUUGAAAGUUCGGAGCUCAACUCCGUGAUGGGAUGGAAACUGGGAUUCUUGAGUACCGGAGAGGAAAGCGGAAUUCCCCGUGUAGCGGUGAAAUGCGUAGAUAUGGGGAGGAACACCAGUGGCGAAGGCGGCUUUCUGGACGGUGUCUGACACUGAGGCGCGAAAGCUAGGGGAGCGAACGGGAUUAGAUACCCGGGUAGUCC
rnacentral:rRNA from 1 species